GGGGGCGAUGGGUUUCGACGGAGAGCAAGAAGGCAUAGGUUGCAGGCCGAGGUGCCGUUGGCCUCGUAAAAAAGCGGCAAAACAAAAAACGCCAAUACACAGUACGCUCUCGCUGCCUAAUUAGCGGCAGCGCGUCCGCCCGAACCCUGCCGGGGGCGUCGGUGUCGGGCGUGGACAAACCGGCUAUUGCAUAUCCCAAUGCCUGUAGGGAUGUGCUGAAUAUCUAAACAGGCUGGCACUGCCGAACCCUGCCCGUCGGGGACGUCAGUGCGAGAGCAAAAGACGGGAUAAGCCUGUAGAAGCCUGUGUCGGAUUCUCUCUGGACCCGGGUUCAACUCCCGGCGCCUCCACCA
rnacentral:tmRNA from 1 species